rnacentral:rRNA from 1 species
AACGCGAAGAACCUUACCUGGGUUUGACAUCCUCUGACAACCGUAGAGAUACGGCUUCUGUAGCAAUACAGCAGAGUGACAGGUGCUGCAUGGCUGUCGUCAGCUCGUGUGGUGACAUGUUGGGUUAAGUCCCGCAACGAGCGCAACCCUUGUCUUUAGUUGCCAGCAUUCAGUUGGGCUCUCUAAAGAGACUGCCGUGGUGAACACGGAGGAAGGUGGGGAUGACGUCAAGUCCUCAUGGCCUUUAUAUCCAGGGCGACACACGUGAUACAAUGGACGGUACAGAGGGAAGCCAAUGCGCGAGUAGGAGCCAAUCUCAAAAAGCCGUUCUCAGUUCGGAUUGGAGUCUGCAACUCGACUCCAUGAAGUUGGAAUCGCUAGUAAUCGCGGAUCAGCACGCCGCGGUGAAUACGUUCCCGGGCCUUGUACACACCGAGUAUA